rnacentral:rRNA from 1 species
UACGGAGGGUGCAAGCGUUAUCCGGAUUCACUGGGCUUAAAGGGCGCGUAGGCGGGCAGGUAAGUCAGUGGUGAAAUCUCCGGGCUUAACCCGGAAACUGCCGUUGAUACUAUUUGUCUUGAAUAUUGUGGAGGUAAGCGGAAUAUGUCAUGUAGCGGUGAAAUGCUUAGAUAUGACAUAGAACACCAAUUGCGAAGGCAGCUUACUACACAAUGAUUGACACUGAGGCACGAAAGCGUGGGGAUCAAACAGG